rnacentral:rRNA from 1 species
UGGGAAUUUGGACAAUGGGCGAAAGCCUGAUCCAGCAAUGCCGCGUGUGUGAAGAAGGCCUUCGGGUUGUAAAGCACUUUUGUCCGGAAAGAAAUCCUUGGCUCUAAUACAGUCGGGGGAUGACGGUACCGGAAGAAUAAGCACCGGCUAACUACGUGCCAGCAGCCGCGGUAAUACGUAGGGUGCAAGCGUUAAUCGGAAUUACUGGGCGUAAAGCGUGCGCAGGCGGUUUGCUAAGACCGAUGUGAAAUCCCCGGGCUCAACCUGGGAACUGCAUUGGUGACCGGCAGGCUAGAGUAUGGCAGAGGGGGGUAGAAUUCCACGUGCAGCAGUGAAAUGCGUAGAGAUGUGGAGGAAUACCGAUGGCGAAGGCAGCCCCCUGGGCCAAUACUGACGCUCAUGCACGAAAGCGUGGGGAGCAAACAGGAUUAGAUACCCUGGUAGUCCACGCCCUAAACGAUGUC